CGUCUUGGAAGGGCACAUCAUGCACGGGAUGCGUCCAUAUGAAGACGUCUAAAAAGAAAGAUAAACAAGUGGGCAUCAAUUUCUAUAGCUUUCUGAAAAGGGAGGCACAGAGGAAUGAGAUCAUGAUGCUGCAAAGCAAGUGCGAGCAGGACAAGAAGAGAAUACAACAGAUGAGGGCUGCAAGGAAGUUUCAACCAUACUAGAUGCUGUGAGCUCUUAUAUACUCGACUUAAGUUGAAAAAUCGUUUAAAUUUAUAUGGUACUGUUUAUUGUGGGUCAUGUAACAAAAGAUAGGAGCCAUUGGUGUUGCAGGCCCUAUAAUGACGUUUAGUUGACAAAUUACUCUAACUCCAAAUCUGAAGGUAAUCCAUUUUUUUGAAUUUUGUUUUUAUAAAAUGACACUGUUCAUGA